GGCGGGGUAGCUCAGCUGACGAGAGCGCACGACUCAUAAUCGUGAGGUCGGGAGUUUGAAUCUCCCCCUCGCUA
rnacentral:tRNA from 1 species